UUCGGAGGUACUCGAGUGGCGAACGGGUGAGUAACACGUGGGUAAUCUGCCCUGCACUUCGGGAUAAGCCUGGGAAACUGGGUCUAAUACCGGAUAGGACCUUUUGGCGCAUGCCUUUUGGUGGAAAGCUUUUGCGGUGUGGGAUGGGCCCGCGGCCUAUCAGCUUGUUGGUGGGGUGACGGCCUACCAAGGCGACGACGGGUAGCCGGCCUGAGAGGGUGUCCGGCCACACUGGGACUGAGAUACGGCCCAGACUCCUACGGGAGGCAGCAGUGGGGAAUAUUGCACAAUGGGCGCAAGCCUGAUGCAGCGACGCCGCGUGGGGGAUGACGGCCUUUCGGGUUGUAAACCUCUUUCAGCAGGGACGAAGCGCAAGUGACGGUACCUGCAGAAGAAGCACCGGCCAACUACGUGCCAGCAGCCGCGGUAAUACGUAGGGUGCGAGCGUUGUCCGGAAUUACUGGGCGUAAAGAGCUCGUAGGUGGUUUGUCGCGUUGUUCGUGAAAACCGGGGGCUUAACCCUCGGCGUGCGGGCGAUACGGGCAGACUGGAGUACUGCAGGGGAGACUGGAAUUCCUGGUGUAGCGGUGGAAUGCGCAGAUAUCAGGAGGAACACCGGUGGCGAAGGCGGGUCUCUGGGCAGUAACUGACGCUGAGGAGCGAAAGCGUGGGGAGCGAACAGGAUUAGAUACCCUGGUAGUCCACGCCGUAAACGGUGGGUACUAGGUGUGGGUUUCCUUCCUUGGAAUCCGUGCCGUAGCUAACGCAUUAAGUACCCCGCCUGGGGAGUACGGCCGCAAGGCUAAAACUCAAAGGAAUUGACGGGGGCCCGCACAAGCGGCGGAGCAUGUGGAUUAAUUCGAUGCAACGCGAAGAACCUUACCUGGGUUUGACAUGCACAGGACGCCGGCAGAGAUGUCGGUUCCCUUGUGGCCUGUGUGCAGGUGGUGCAUGGCUGUCGUCAGCUCGUGUCGUGAGAUGUUGGGUUAAGUCCCGCAACGAGCGCAACCCUUGUCUCAUGUUGCCAGCGGGUAAUGCCGGGGACUCGUGAGAGACUGCCGGGGUCAACUCGGAGGAAGGUGGGGGAUGACGUCAAGUCAUCAUGCCCCUUAUGUCCAGGGCUUCACACAUGCUACAAUGGCCGGUACAAAGGGCUGCGAUGCCGUAAGGUUAAGCGAAUCCUUUUAAAGCCGGUCUCAGUUCGGAUCGGGGUCUGCAACUCGACCCCGUGAAGUCGGAGUCGCUAGUAAUCGCAGAUCAGCAACGCUGCGGUGAAUACGUUCCCGGGCCUUGUACAC
rnacentral:rRNA from 1 species